GACGAACGCUGGCGGCGUGCUUAACACAUGCAAGUCGAACGGCAAGGCCCUGCUUUUGUGGUGUGCUCGAGUGGCGAACGGGUGAGUAACACGUGAGUAACCUGCCCUUGACUUUGGGAUAACUUCAGGAAACUGGGGCUAAUACCGUAUAGGAGCUCCUCCUGCAUGGUGGGGGGUGGAAAGUUUCGGCUGUUGGGGAUGGACUCGCGGCUUAUCAGCUUGUUAGUGGGGUAGUGGCCCACCAAGGCGUUGACGGGUAGCCGGCCUGAGAGGGUGAUCGGCCACACUGGAGCUGAGACGCGGUCCAGACUCCUACGGGAGGCAGCAGUGGGGAAUAGUGGACAAUGGGCGCAAGCCUGAUCCAGCCAUACCGCGUGGGUGAAGAAGGCCUUCGGGUUGGAAAGCCCGUUUGUUGGGAAAGAAAAGCAGCAGGUUAAUACCCCGCUGUUGUGACGGUACCCAAAGAAUAAGCACCGGCUAACUUCGUG
rnacentral:rRNA from 1 species